rnacentral:sRNA from 1 species
UGGUUUCCGGUCCCCUGAGAGUGGGGCCUCGCUCGCUCCCUACCCGCUCGCAACCGUUGCGGUGGGAGAAAGCCGAGUCCGCAGCGGAGGGGAAACGCCGUCAUGCCCAAGUAUUACGAGGACAAGCCGCAGGGCGGCGCGUGCGGGGGCCUGAAGGAGGACCUGGGCGCGUGUCUGCUGGAGUCGGACUGUGUGGUCCAGGUAGCGCGGCCGGGCGCUCCCGGUGGUGACGACGCCUGCUCCAGGAAGGAAAAUCACCUCGGCAGUGUUUGAAGGAAGGAUACUGCAACUCUUUGAAGUACGCAUUUUUUGAGUGUAAAAGAUCAGUGUUGGAUAACAGGGCAAGAUUCAGAGGAAGAAAAGGAUAUUGAUACAUUAUGUUGAAGCCAACAUGGAAAACAACAAAUAUUUUCCCUGGUCAUUAACACAAAGAAGCCAGAACAGGAAAUGUACUUUUUACUACAUCUGUUUGGUUGGACCAGAUUUCCCCUCCAUGGAACACUGAAGAAAAUGGAUGAGUUCUGUUUUCGAAUAUGUAUAAAGUAAAUGAUUCUCUUGAUCCAAGUUAUUUUUAGAAGAAUAACCUAAUUGAACAGUUAUGGGUUGGGAGCAUAAUAAAUGUAUUUUGAGAAUUGUUCUAAAGCACAGAAAAUGGAAAGAUUGUUAUUUGCAAACUUGACUCUUGAAUUGAGUUACCCAAUUUGUACAGGCCACUGAUGUGACUGACACAGUCGAUAACAUGGAGCCUAUCCAGAAGAUGUCUGUUGGGAAA